CCGGGCCCAACUAAGCCUAAAGCCCAAAACCAUUUACACAGUCCAAAUCAAAUACUAAAAUUAAAUACAAUUGAACCCAAUAAAACUUGGGCCAAGCUAAACCCAAUUACAGGGCCCAAUUGGCCUAAAACAGCAGAAAUCCUAGCAGCAAUUAACAGCACCACAUUCCCCACGUUCAGUAGCCUCCACACCGUCCCACGUUCAGCACUCCGCGCACGCCACAUGCUCGCACCUGCAACAACCAAGAACAGUAAAGGGUGGAAAAGAGGUUUUUGGGGGUUUUUUUUCUUUUCAUGAUUUUGGCUAUUUAAAGUCAAAUCGAAUCUGUAAUGGGGGUAGCAAAAUUCUGUAUUGAAAAAUUAAAAGAAAAUACAAGAGAGAAAAGAGAUUUUUUUUUGUUUUUUAAGGUGAUAAAUUUUGGUUCUCUUUUUCCUCUGUUUUUUUGGUACUGUUUUCAUUAUUUUUUGGUUUUUCUUCGAUUUCUUAAAACGAAUAAACGAAAAGGGUAAGGUGAAGGGGACUUACCAUUGCG
rnacentral:lncRNA from 1 species